rnacentral:rRNA from 1 species
UAAGGAAUAUUGGUCAAUGGACGCAAGUCUGAACCAGCCAUGCCGCGUGGAGGAUGAAGGUCCUCUGGAUUGUAAACUUCUUUUAUCUGGGAAGAAAUGCAUCUUUUCUAAGGUGUUUGACGGUACCAGACGAAUAAGCACCGGCUAACUCCGUGCCAGCAGCCGCGGUAAUACGGAGGGUGCAAGCGUUAUCCGGAUUCACUGGGUUUAAAGGGUGCGUAGGUGGGUUGGUAAGUCAGUGGUGAAAUCUCCGGGCUUAACCCGGAAACUGCCAUUGAUACUACUGGUCUUGAAUGUCGUGGAGGUGAGCGGAAUAUGUCAUGUAGCGGUGAAAUGCUUAGAUAUGACAUAGAACACCAAUUGCGAAGGCAGCUCACUACACGGAUAUUGACACUGAGGCACGAAAGCGUGGGGAUCAAACAG